UUAUCCAGGCAAAUCCGGAUAAUCAAGGCUGAGGUGUGAUGACGAGGCACUACGGUGCUGAAGUAACAAAUGCCCUGCUUCCAGGAAAAGCCUCUAAGCAUCAGGUAACAUCAAAUCGUACCCCAAACCGACACAGGUGGUCAGGUAGAGAAUACCAAGGCGCUUGAGAGAACUCGGGUGAAGGAACUAGGCAAAAUGGUGCCGUAACUUCGGGAGAAGGCAC
rnacentral:rRNA from 1 species